CCUACGGGAGGCAGCAGUAGGGAAUAUUGCUCAAUGGGGGAAACCCUGAAGCAGCAAAGCCGCGUGGAGGAUGAAGGUUUUCGGAUUGUAAACUCCUUUUGUUAGAGAAGAUAAUGACGGUAUCUAACGAAUAAGCACCGGCUAACUCCGUGCCAGCAGCCGCGGUAAUACGGAGGGUGCAAGCGUUACUCGGAAUCACUGGGCGUAAAGGGCGCGUAGGCGGGAUAGCAAGUCAGUUGUGAAAUCCUAUGGCUUAACCAUAGAACUGCAUUUGAAACUGUUAUUCUAGAGUAUGGGAGAGGUAGGUGGAAUUCUUGGUGUAGGGGUAAAAUCCGUAGAGAUCAAGAAGAAUACUGAUUGCGAAGGCGACCUGCUAGAACGUAACUGACGCUGAUGCGCGAAAGCGUGGGGAGCAAACAGGAUUAGAUACCCGGGUAGUC
rnacentral:rRNA from 1 species